AUACGGAGGGUGCAAGCGUUACUCGGAAUCACAGGGCGUAAAGCGCGCGCAGGCGGCUUGAUAAGUUGGAUGUGAAAGCCUACGGCUCAACCGUAGAACUGCAUCCAAAACUGUCAGGCUAGAGUGUGGGAGAGGAAGAUGGAAUUAGUUGUGUAGGGGUAAAAUCCGUAGAGAUAACUAGGAAUACCAAAAGCGAAGGCAAUCUUCUGGAACACUACUGACGCUGAGGCGCGAAGGCGUGGGGAGCAAACAGGAUUAGAAACCCUGGUAGUCC
rnacentral:rRNA from 1 species